CUACGGGCUGCUGCAGUCGAGAAUCUUCCACAAUGGACGAAAGUCUGAUGGAGCGACGCCGCGUGAUGGAUGAAGUACUUCGGUAUGUAAACAUCUUUUAUAGGGGAGGAAGUCAUUGACGUUACCCUAUGAAUAAGAGGUUGCUAAACUCGUGCCAGCAGCAGCGGUAAUACGAGUGCCUCGAGCGUUAUCCGGAAUUACUGGGCGUAAAGGGUGCGUAGGCGGUUGUGUUAGUCUUCGGUCAAAUCUUCCGGCUCAACCGGAAAACUGCCGGGGAAACGGCACAACUAGAGGAUGUGAGGGGUGAGCGGAACUCAUGGUGUAGGGGUGAAAUCCGUUGAUAUCAUGGGGAACACCGAAAGCGAAGGCAGCUCACUGGCACACUCCUGACGCUGAAGCACGAAAGCGUGGGUAGCGAAUGGGAUUAGAUACCCGGGUAGUC
rnacentral:rRNA from 1 species